rnacentral:rRNA from 1 species
GACGAACGCUGGCGGCGUGCCUAAUACAUGCAAGUCGAACGAACCGCGACUAGGUGCUUGCACUUGGUCAAGGUGAGUGGCGAACGGGUGAGUAACACGUGGGUAACCUACCUCAUAGUGGGGGAUAACAGUCGGAAACGACUGCUAAUACCGCAUAGGACAUAGGAUCACAUGAUCCAGUGAGGAAAGUUGGCGCAAGCUAUCGCUAAGAGAUGGACCCGCGGUGCAUUAGCUAGUUGGUAGGGUAAAGGCCUACCAAGGCGAUGAUGCAUAGCCGACCUGAGAGGGUGAACGACCAGAUGGGGACUGAGACACGGCCGAAACUCCUACGGGAGGCAGCAGUGGGGACUCUUACGGAAUGGACGAAAGUCUGACGGAGCAACGCCGCGGGAGUGAAGAAGGUCUUCGGAUCGUAAAGCUCUGUUGUUAGAGAAGAACAGCGCAUAGAGUAACUGUUAUGCGUGUGACGGUAUCUAACCAGAAAGCCACGGCUAACUACGUG